ensembl:lncRNA
AUUUGCAUCUAGGUUAUUUUCAUCCAUUUAUUUUCAUGAUACAUACAUAAUACAAGAAUUUGGAGCAGCAAAUACUAGUUACAUUGCAUGGCCAUCCUGAGGUGAUAACAAGCAAUUUUGUUUAAAAGCAUUAUGUGUAUGAUCUAUCCCUUAGAUUGCCAAAACCAGGAAUGUGCACGUGCAUGAGAUGGGAAGGCUGAGGUAAGACUUGGGACUGAUCGUCCUGCUUAUGGGAUUUGUCUGGUUUUGCAGGAUAAAGAUCGCUCCUCCAUUGCCAAACCAAAAAAGCCAACCUAUGCAAUUACUAAAAGGAGCUGGGGUAAGUUCAAUAUAACAUUUUAAAAUGUAAAAUUUGGUCCUGCUUGGUCUUCAGAAGGGGAAAGACACAGACAGAUAAAGCUACAAAGUUUAUAAUGAGAAUUUCAAACUACCUUUUUUUAAAGUGCCUAAUUCUGAAAAACAGAGGCACUAUAUUCAUCAUUAAUUCCCAAAAUAGCCAAGUAAAUAUUCUAAAACCUUCAAAUUAAAACAAGAAUGUGACUAAGUGAAGGGUUAUCCUUUCAAACUGAAUUCUUGAAGUGACUGAGUAUAUGCAACCAUUUGUAAGAUUUGCCUCUACUUCCUGAAAGACAGAUGUGCCAGUUUUCCACAGGUGAAGGCCACAGUGCUUAUUUUCUUCCUGAGAACAAGGACAGCACUUGAAACUCAGUCUUGUGCUGCCUUUGCUUACCUAAAGGGGAAGAUAAAGCUCAAUUACGAAUUGCCAGUCCCAAGGCACGGAAGCUGGCUUUGCCAUUGGCACAGCCCCACCAGCCAGCCCUGCCCGAGGUUUAUCAACAAAGAGUAGGCUAGAAAAGUUCCAGAACUCCCUGGUCUGCCAUGCAGCCACCUGAAAGAUUUAUUAGCAACAUGAACACUGCAUGGCAGGGGGGGUGGAACUUAAGAUUCUUUCUAACCCAACCCAUUCUGUGAUAGAUGAUUCCAUGGUAUAAUUUUAUUUAAAAGACCUGCUGAGCCGGGCAUACGCACAAGCCUGUGAGGAACCUCCGAGGAUGUGAAGGGCAUAGGGACUGGCUAUAAACUGAGUAAGCAUGCCAAAGAGCCAGCUCACUUUUAACAUUGUUUGCCUCUAGAUCAACCAUGGAGACUUUUUGUACAACCUUCUACAUUCCUAAUUCUACAAGAGGUAUUCAGGGAAAAGGGCUAUGUAACAAAACCCAGCAUGCCGUAACUUAGGUUGGGUCAGAAGGGAAGAAGCAUGAUGAGUACGCUGUUAAGAGUGGUAAAUCUGAGAUUUUAAUGGUAAUGGAGAGCUUUAGGACUACUACUAUGAUAAAACCAGAAAGCUAGUUUGGAGAGGAAAGAGAAGAAUGUUUGAAGUGCCAAAAUUGUGUUUAUUAGUUAAAAAAAAAACAAACCCCAAAACCUGAACUGACCAGUGCACGCUCACAAGAUCCAGCUAUAAAGCUGGGCAGAAAUGAAACCCAUCUCAGAGGCAGUGUAAAAACUGCAAAUUAAGUUUUUGAUCACUGUCACCAAAGUAAUUUCUGCUGUCUCUACGUAGUUUACUGAAAUAGCAGAAUCUGCAAGCUGUGAUUUAGGAGUGCUCCUGGUUUAAAUGAGGAGGGUCAAGAUCUGGACAAAAAGCUGUCAGCAGAUUUUUCAGAAGCUGUCUGUCAGCUGCAAGGUUAAAACUCUUUGCACAGGAAGCACAGUUUUCUUGGGGAUGGAUUAUUUCAAGCUCCUGGAACACACUUCCACAGGAAGCAAUAAACACCUUACAUGUCAUUUUCUUUUCCAAAUGCACUUUCACCUUGUUUUUACUAACAAAUACAUAGGGAAUUAGCAUAACAAAGUGCAUUUGACACAAUGAGUCCUUGCUGACUGAUGGAUGGGAGAGCGCUCACAUACAACUAUAAUUAACACCACAAUAAAUGCAUUUAUUGACUCGGUAAGGUUAGAAGUUUAUAGUAGUAGUGUGGAGUAGCUUACAGUACUCAGCUGAAAAAACUAAAUAACAUUAUUGCUUUUUAAUACCAUGGACUAGAUUAUGCAUAUUUUUACUGUGAUACUUUUAAGGAAUAGAUCAACUGCAUUUUUUGUAUAGGCAUGCUGGGGAAGAAGUAUUGCCUUUAGAGCAAAAUUAACAUUCACCAUUAAAGAACAGUGCAAAAAAAAAACCUGCUGAAAAAUUUACAGUAAGCCACUAAUUCUUAAGAUCUCACAGUUUGUUAAUAAAAUCACAAGUAUGUUCUUCUAACUUCUUCAGUAUGUUAGGCCUCAUUUUGAAGAUGUAUUAUUGCUUCAUCAGUAGCAAUGCUGCUUUCAAAGAGGACAUUUCUAGAGGCACAGACUUAUAUCUAUAAAGAAAUUUUGUUCCCUUCUCCCAAUUCCC